GGUGAACGCUGGCGGUAGGCCUAACACAUGCAAGUCGAACGGCAGCACAGGAGAGCUUGCUCUCUGGGUGGCGAGUGGCGGACGGGUGAGGAAUACAUCGGAAUCUACUCUGUCGUGGGGGAUAACGUAGGGAAACUUACGCUAAUACCGCAUACGACCUACGGGUGAAAGCAGGGGACCUUCGGGCCUUGCGCGAUUGAAUGAGCCGAUGUCGGAUUAGCUAGUUGGCGGGGUAAAGGCCCACCAAGGCGACGAUCCGUAGCUGGUCUGAGAGAAUGACCAGCCACACUGGAACUGAGACACGGUCCAGGCUCCUACGGGAGGCAGCAGUGGGGAGUAUUGGACAAUGGGCGCAAGCCUGAUCCAGCCAUACCGCGUGGGUGAAGAAGGCCUUCGGGUUGUAAAGCCCUUUUGUUGGGAAAGAAAUCCAGCUGGCUAAUACCCGGUUGGGAUGACGGUACCCAAAGAAUAAGCACCGGCUAACUUCGUGCCAGCCGCCGCCGUAA
rnacentral:rRNA from 1 species